ensembl:lncRNA
AGCUUUUCACCCGGAGGGUUCGUAAUGUCACGCGAAUCGGGACGCAGGCCCGUUGAUGCCGAUGACGACGAUGCUCUGGGGAAGCACCAGCGGGACGGGCGCUUCUACAGGGCUCCCGACAGGGAGUGUGUGGAUGCGCUGCUGGAUAUUAGUGAGGAGGAGCAGCAGGCUUAUGAGUCCCAGACUCAAAGUGGCUGGGAGGAAGCUAUGCAAGGAUGGGGUCAGUCUUCCCCUCUUGCUUGCUUGUUUCAAGCCCACAGCAAAGGGACUACGGUCAAAUCAGAUGUCAUAGAUUCCCAUUGUGUUCUGUGUGCUGAUUUAAAGCACCUGAAGCUGUCUGAAAUCCUUGGUCCUGAACGUUCUGGAACCUCUGUUGAACUGUCCUGUGAAACUGCUGAGGAACCUCUUUCUACCACCCCGGAACUCCUAGAGAGAGCUCCCAGCAAUAUUUCAUCCUGUUCUUCCCCAGAAGAGGAAAAAUCAGAUUUUUACUUUGUCCAGGAGAGGAACAUCAAGUCGGACUCUCUUGAAGAUGAACUACUGUUUGAAGGUGAACCAUGCAUAAACAAUCAAACUCUUCCUCACCCCCCUCAGCAUAACACGCAGUGGCCUUUUCUGAAAGAUGAGGGUGUGGAAAAGAUUGCACUCAUCAGCCCCCUUAUUGUAUUGCCCCCUGUAAAAGAAUCUGCACAGGCAAAACCAAAGAGUCCCGGUCUUCUAAACAAGAGAGAAGUUUCUGAUCUGCAUCAAGCAAAAGGGGAGGCUGAGAAAGCUGCUCUGUGUGGCACUUCAGGACCGGUGAUUUUUGGCGAGAAAGUGGACGUUGAUGGAGAACUGGACUCCCCAUAUUCUAGCUCAACUCUAGAUGCCCGUCAAGGAUCUCUUACCUUUAAGCAGAGACUAGCCCAGCACCAGUAUCACCUGCUCUCUACUUUGAGCACCACUGUCUCCAAGAGGCAUCAGCCCUUCAGCACUAUGGCAGACCCCAUAGCCCGGGCUACUUCCCUCUUGGGUAGAAACCUCAAACAGUAUGAGCUGACCAAGUCAGCUCUCAAGCACACCUCUGGCCACAGAUUACAUUUUGGCUUCAGAUCCAAGAAUCUAAGGAGGACAGAGCCUGAGCUCCCAAUGCUGUUAGGCACCAGGGUCCCAAUACCAGUGUCGACUCAACGUUUAUUAUGAAGGAGCUACUCAUCAUUCAUUGCCUCAAUUUAUUAAAGUUCUCUGCAUACCGAGAUGACUUAGAGUCAUACCGUAAAUAUAUCAAUUAGUCUAAGGACUAAAGAUGAAUUACUAAUUCAAAUAUUAUUUUAAAUAAUUACUAGAGAAUAUGUUCUGGUCUGAAAACCUUUAAAGAUUUGUAGAUGGUUUUAGAAAUCUUCAUUAUGCCUAUAUUAAUAAUUUACACACAUUUAUUUAGUAGAAACAGUUAGUAGUUAGCCAUUAUCCGUCUCAUCAAUAGUUAGUUUCUGACCCAGACCACAAUUGGCUAAAUACCUUUGGGUAGCAAACCAAUUUUUAUCUGGCAGGGAACCUUUGUGUUAGAACUCCAGCAACACUGCCCUGCCUGAUUCUUUCAUACCAGUGCAACAGCCACUAUCAUGCCACACCCAUGUCAGUAUCAUUGGUGUACUGAGAACCACCCAUUGCCUAGACGUAGGCAUGUCUAAAACUUACCAGUGAUGAACAGACUGGAGAUAAGUACACCUGUAAGAUAGGUGUACUAAUAAAGUGGCCAUGAAGUAUUAGUGCAAUGUAGGAUUUUAUACUCAAGUGAGACUCUAUUAUAUUUAUAUUUAAAAUAUAUACACUAGUAUGUAUAACUUAGGUCACAACAUAGUUUAAUGGAAUUUAGAAAACACACUGAUAGUGGAUCAAUUCAGGAAUGUGGACCACAAGCAGAAUGUAGUGGUAGCUAAACAGAAGACAAUGUGUCAUUGGAAAAAGUGUCUUUGAAAUGCACAUCAUAUGGGCAGCUUCAAAAGUCACCAUUUUAUAUGUAACUUAAUACCAAUACUUAUUUUAAGGGAGGUAAAGGCAUGAUUGCCACCAGUGUUAAAAAGUGUCCACCUUGUACUGCUGGAAAAUGUAAAGUGCAUUACAAAAGACAAUGAAAGCGUAGCUUGCUGUUGCAAGGGCCUUUCAGUAUUUGUAGUAACAGUGCAGCACCCAUUUCUGGUCAAGAGAGCCUUUCCAGUUACCCAGCAACUGAACUGCCUACUUACAAAGGCUGCUCAGUUAUGUAGCCUCAGGUUCCUGUACUUCCCACGUGCCUUAGUAGUUGUGAGCUGUCAGCAGCAGACACCUACAGCCAAAACAAUGUUUAAAACAAUAUUUUCAAGGAGUUUGGAAGAGUUAGUUUGGAUGAAAGCUAGGCACUUCCUUUAGAGAGUCAGAAUUGUGACAGAGAAAAGACUGCUUUCAUUCUAAUUAAAAAGGAUGUCAAUGUAAAUAUUGUGCUAGUGUGUUUAUUACUGCCUUUUUUGACUACUGCAGCCCAUUUCACUUG